rnacentral:tRNA from 1 species
GGUGCUGUGGCUUAGUUGGUCAAAGCGCCUGUCUAGUAAACAGGAGAUCGUGGGUUCAAAUCCCAGCAGUGCCU